AUGGUCAGGAAAAUUUAUAAUAAGAUUUGGGCAAUGGUGCAUUCAAUAUCAAAAUCUCAUAUUGCUUUUCCAGGAUUAAAUACACGACUGUGCAAGAUGUAUGCAGUCAUUUUUCCUUACUACUAUCGUUGUCGUAUAAAUAGUUUGAUAGAUGAUGACUAUGUUCGUUGUCACUGCAUAAUACAACAAUAUAGAGUCAAUAACUGCAUAAUAUCGCUUCUACUACCUAACCAUAACGUAAAAGAAUCAAUAGGUUUGGAAGAAAUCAAUAGAAACGUGCAAACAUAUUUUACUCAUUAA